UGGAGUUAUUAAUAGACAUAUUUCAGAUUUUUUUUACUUUUUAAAAAAUAAUUAGAAAUAAAAAUAAAAAGCCCACAACGGCUUUAUUUUUUUUUAAAACUUAAAAUUGAUGCAUUUCAAAAUGACCAAAAUUUUUUUUAUAUAUACUAGCCUCUUCACAUGUGCUUUCGCGUUUGUGAGAUUUUUUUUUUUUAAUGGGUAGUUGUGUUCCAUAAAAAUAGGAUCCAUUAUCUCUCCUUUUU
rnacentral:lncRNA from 1 species